UGCAAGUCGAGGGGUAGAGUUAGCUUGCUAGCUUGAGACCGGCGCACGGGUGCGUAACGCGUAUGCAACCUACCUUAAUCAGGGGGAUAGCCCGAAGAAAUUCGGAUUAACACCGCAUAAAAUCACAGAAUAGCAUUAUUCAAUGAUCAAAUAUUUAUAGGAUUAAGAUGGGCAUGCGUGUCAUUAGCUAGUUGGCGGGGUAACGGCCCACCAAGGCGACGAUGACUAGGGGAUCUGAGAGGAUGACCCCCCACACUGGUACUGAGACACGGACCAGACUCCUACGGGAGGCAGCAGUAAGGAAUAUUGGUCAAUGGAGGCAACUCUGAACCAGCCAUGCCGCGUGCAGGAAGACUGCCCUAUGGGUUGUAAACUGCUUUUAUCUGGGAAUAAACCUAUUUACGUGUAGAUAGCUGAAUGUACCAGAAGAAUAAGGAUCGGCUAACUCCGUGCCAGCAGCCGCGGUAAUACGGAGGAUCCAAGCGUUAUCCGGAUUUAUUGGGUUUAAAGGGUGCGUAGGCGGCCUGUUAAGUCAGAGGUGAAAGACGGUAGCUCAACUAUCGCAGUGCCUUUGAUACUGAUGGGCUUGAAUGGACUAGAGGUAGGCGGAAUGAGACAAGUAGCGGUGAAAUGCAUAGAUAUGUCUCAGAACACCGAUUGCGAAGGCAGCUUACUAUGGUUUUAUUGACGCUGAGGCACGAAAGCGUGGGGAUCAAACAGGAUUAGAUACCCUGGUAGUCCACGCCCUAAACGAUGAACACUCGCUGUUGGUGAUACACAGUCAGCGGCUAAGCG
rnacentral:rRNA from 1 species